rnacentral:lncRNA from 1 species
AGAAGCCAUUGUGAAGAAACUCGCCACCGCCAAACCCAAAAAGAGAUGCAAAGAACCAGGAAACAAACCGAAAAGAUAACGCUACAAAUAACCAGCACGACGACCCAGAGAACAAACCAAACAAACAAAGAAGCAUAACAACGACACCAUCUCCACUUGAAUCAUAUGAAAUCAGAGAAAGGGGACAAAACCCCACUGUUGAAGGAUCCGAAGCUCCGAUAUCAGUGCAAGAUAGAAGACAAUCGGAUCUGAGACUUCGAACCUCUCCUAAUCCGAUAGCAUCAGCAAAACGUAGACUUUGACUAUCAAGAGAAGAAGACCAGAUGAUCUACAUCUAACAACAAAUAAAAAAAUAAAAAGAAAGAGAGGAGGAGAG